GCGCCCGUAGCUCAGUUGGAAAGAGCAACGGACUUCUAAUCCGUAGGUCGCAGGUUCGAAUCCUGCCGGGCGCG
rnacentral:tRNA from 1 species